AGAGAGGUGAUCUGGGGAUAAGAUAGAACCUUUAGGAGCCAGCAGGACGGCUCAGCAGGUAAAGGCACUUGCCACCAAGCCUGACAACUGAGUUUCAUCCACCAGACCCAGAAGAUGGAAGGUGAUUUGUCUGCAUCGGCUUGCCUGCACGCAUGUGUGCCUGAUACAGGCAGAGGACAGAAGAAGGCUUCUGAUUCCCCAGAGCUGGAGUUACAGACAGCUGUGUGCUGCCGUAUGGGUGCUGAGAAUUGAACCCAGGUCCUCUGGAGGUGCAGCUGGUGCUCUUAACCACUGAGCUACCAUCAACCCCUUAAGCAAACAUUUUCUAAGUGACUAUUAUACCCACAUGAAGAGCUGAGCAGAAAUCUGAGCCCAAGGUGAAGAUGACAAAGGGGACAGACAGAACAGGAAGGACAGAUUUCAGACUUGUCUGGCCUGCUUCAGUCCUCCAUGGAGCAUCUGCUUUCAUCAAGAGUGGCCUUAGUACCCCAAGACAUAACAUACGGGACUCAUCAUUAAACCCAUGCAUCACAGUGUUAGCACACCUAUAAAGGCUCAUUUGGGGCUGGGUGUGGUGGUCCAGCCUUUAAUCCCAGCACUGGAGAGGCAAAGAAAGGCAAAUCACUGUGAGUUCAA
rnacentral:lncRNA from 1 species